rnacentral:rRNA from 1 species
CGUCAGUUCGUACUGUGAAGCAUCCUGUUAAGUCAGGCAACGAGCGAGACCCACGCCAACAGUUGCCAGCAUGUCCUCCGGGAUGAUGGGGACGACUGUUGGGACCGCCUCUGCUAAAGAGGAGGAAGGAAUGGGCAACGGUAGGUCAGCAUGCCCCGAAUUAUCCGGGCUACACGCGGGCUACAAUGGUCAGGACAAUGGGUAUCGACACCGAGAGGUGGAGGCAAUCUCCUAAACCUGUCCUUAGUUCGGAUUGUGGGCUGCAACUCGCCCACAUGAAGCUGGAAUCCGUAGUAAUCGCGUUUCAAAAUAGCGCGGUGAAUAUGUCCCUGCUCCUU